rnacentral:misc_RNA from 1 species
GAGAGAGAGAGAGAGAGAGAAGACUAGGGUUUUAAAUUAAUGGCCUUGAGCAGUUUCCAAAAUGAAAAGCACCAGUUUUUUGGAAAAAUUAAUUUUGAAAUUUAAACUUGUAAAACUGAAAUGGAAGUUUUGCAGAGUGAAGGGGUUACGUGAAUCAGUGGAGAAACUGAAAAGAUGAUGGGUCUGAAAACUUUUUGAGUUCUGCACCUGAAGUUUUCUUAAAUAAAGCAAGAAAUUACAAUUAUGCCUUUUAAAAAUAGUGAAGCUUAGUUUUAAAAGGAAUGGAGCAUUUUUGUAAUAUGGAUUAUAACCACACAGUGGAGGCGCUCAGGAGACAGAGAUUUAAAAAAAAUUUGAAAUUUUAAAGUACAAUCAGACCUAAAAACACAUUAUGCUAACAUGAAGUUGAGAGCAGUGGUAAAACACUUAGCAAAUAAGAAAAUUAGCAAAUAAUCUAGUAUGCCACUGUGAUGAAAAUUUGCAGAAUAGUGCUCAUAGCAAAUCAGACCCAGAAAUUUUCAAAACAUACCAGAAAUUUCAGCACUCAUUAUCAGUAACACCAAUUAACUUAUUUCAUCUAUUUAACAUACAAACAUAUGUAAAUGCAUCAAAUAUCAAGUAGGAACAUCUAUCAUGCCAAUUUCUCUUCUUAUUCUACAAAAUGCUUCCUCAUUGAGUGGUUUUGUAAA